UACGAAGGGGGCUAGCGUUGCUCGGAAUCACUGGGCGUAAAGCGCACGUAGGCGGGUCCUUCAGUCAGGGGUGAAAUCCCGGAGCUCAACUCCAGAACUGCCUUUGAUACUGAGAAGCUUGAGUCCGGGAGAGGUGAGUGGAACUGCGAGUGUAGAGGUGAAAUUCGUAGAUAUUCGCAAGAACACCAGUGGCGAAGGCGGCUCACUGGCCCGGUACUGACGCUGAGGUGCGAAAGCGUGGGGAGCAAACAGG
rnacentral:rRNA from 1 species